UGCUGGUGUAACCAUAGUGAAUUAUCUCGAUCGAUUGGAAGUCAGUUACAGAUUGAAAUCCCUGUUACUCUUUCCUCCUCUUCUCACUAUGGCACUUGACUAAUUUUUC
rnacentral:Y_RNA from 1 species